rnacentral:rRNA from 1 species
GGGAACCUCACCCGGCCCGGACACCGCGAGGAUUGACAGACUGAGAGCUCUUUCUCGAUUCGGUGGGUGGUGGUGCAUGGCCGUUCUUAGUUGGUGGAGCGAUCUGUCUGGUUAAUUCCGAUAACGAACGAGACCCCAACCUGCUAACUAGCCCUCGGGUCCUGCUUCUGUUGGGCCCGACGGAAUGAUUCGCUUCUUAGAGGGACUCGCGGCGCCUAGCCGCACGAAGGGGGCGAUAA